rnacentral:rRNA from 1 species
UGGGGAAUAUUGGACAAUGGGCGGAAGCCUGAUCCAGCAAUACCGCGUGUGUGAAGAAGGCCUUCGGGUUGUAAAGCACUUUUGUCAGGGAGAAUGGCAGUUGAGGUUAAUACCCUUAGCUGUUGAUGUUACCUGAAGAAUAAGCACCGGCUAACUCCGUGCCAGCAGCCGCGGUAAUACGGGGGGUGCAAGCGUUAAUCGGAAUUACUGGGCGUAAAGGGCGCGUAGGCGGUUACUUAAGUUAGAUGUGAAAGCCCCGGGCUUAACCUGGGAAUUGCAUUUAAUACUGGGUAACUAGAGUGUGGUAGAGAGUAGCGGAAUUUCUGGUGUAGCGGUGAAAUGCGUAGAUAUCAGAAGGAACACCAAUGGCGAAGGCAGCUGCUUGGGCCAACACUGACGCUGAGGCGCGAAAGCGUGGGGAGCAAACAGG